AAUUCAUGGUGGGGGCAUGAUCUGAACAACUCUUUAUAUCAUUCCCACGCUUCAAGAAGUGAUUUCCCAUCUUCUUUCAUAAAAUAAGUUAUUUGGUUCCUCAAGU